rnacentral:lncRNA from 1 species
AUCAAUCCAGGACAGCAUCACCCCAGCUGAUGCCAGGGAGAUUGAAGAUCACCAGAGGCACCAAUGGCAGUGACUGAAGAACCCCAGCAACACUGUCAUACAACAGAAGCACUCUAGCUCAGAGUUAGCAGUUGAGGGUAUAAGACAGUGCCAAGAGGACCUUCCUCAGGGAUCAGAUGUACUCUCUGAAAAUAAAGUAAGGUGGUGUGUUCUGGUGUUAGGUUCAUUGGUUGGGUUUCAUUGUUGUCAUUAUUUUGUACAUAAAGUUAUUUUGGGUCAGAAGCUGAAUGCUUGUAUACUGUGUAAAUGUAUUUGUGAUCAGUUUAAACCUGUUUGUUCUUGGGCCAGCAUGGCCUUUCAGGAUUUGUACAGUAUUCUUGUACUCUAACUACAUGGCUUUCAUUUUGUGAGAUUCCUCUGAUUGUUUUAGUUGUCCUUCUCUGCACCUGCUCCAAAUUGAUUUAAUCUUACGUGGACUUGAACUGUAGCCCACACAAAUCUCACUGGUACAAUUUGUGCCUAUAUUUUAUUCUUUGUACCUGCCCUGUAAAGCACUUACCCUUCUCACAGCACCAUCUUACAUGUAGAUACUGUAGGACCAGCUGAUACUUUCUCAACAAUUGUCAGCCACC